rnacentral:rRNA from 1 species
UAUGUGAUCGUCUCUCGCAUAUCAAUAAGCGGAGGAAAAGAAACUAACAAGGAUUCCCCUAGUAACGGCGAGUGAAGCGGGAAGAGCUCAAAUUUGAAAUCUUAAAGGGUUUCCCUUUACGAAUUGUAGUUUAAAGAAGUGUUUUCUGUUGAGGUUUUGGUAAAAGUUCUUUGGAAUAGGACAUCAUAGAGGGUGAGAAUCCCGUAUUUGACCUUUACUUUCAACUUUGUGAUACACUUUCAAAGAGUCGGAUUGUUUGGGAAUGCAGUCCAAAAUGGGUGGUAAAUUUCAUCUAAAGCUAAAUAUUGGCGAGAGACCGAUAGCGAACAAGUACCGUGAGGGAAAGAUGAAAAGAACUUUGAAAAGAGAGUUAAACAGUACGUGAAAUUGUCAAAAGGGAAGCGUUUGACACCAGUGUUGUUUUCUGAAAAUCAAUUAAAGAACUGUUUAUGCUAAGCUGUUUAGACUUUAUCAGCUAUCUGUUUAGUUUUGAGCUUUUCUUUAAUGCACUUUUCAGUUAACAAGUCAACAUCAAUUUCUUUUGCUGUAAAAAAGCUUGAGGAAGGUGGCUUGAGAUUCGUCUUAAGUGUUUAUAGCCUCUUGCCUAUGCAGUCGGAGAGAUUGAGGUCUGCAGCGUAGAUCCUUCGGGGCUAAAUGCAUUUGUGCUAAGUUAUAGCAUUUUAUAGACAACUUGUUGACUAUGAUUUGUCUUGUAGCUUACUCGCUUAUGUUAUUUUACCUACGCUUAGGAUGUUGAGCGCAUGUCUCUCUCU